rnacentral:rRNA from 1 species
GAAAAUAACUAUGAUUCCCUUAGUAACGGCGAGUGAACAGGGAAAAGCCCAAAUUUGUAAUCUGGCAUCUUUUACAGGUGUCCGAGUUGUAAUUUGUAGAACUGUUAUCCGUGCUGGACCAUUGUACAAGUCUGUUGAAAAGCAGCAUCAUUGAAGGUGAAAAUCCUGUAAAUGAUAUGGACUACCAGUGCAUUUGUGAUACGGUUUCUAAGAGUCGAGUUGUUUGGGAAUGCAGCUCAAAGUGGGUGGUAAAUUCCAUCUAAGGCUAAAUAUAAGUGAGAGACCGAUAGCAAACAAGUACCGUGAGGGAAAGAUGAAAAGAACUUUGAAAAUAGAGUUAACAGUACGUGAAAUUGCUGAAAGGGAAACGUUUGAAGUUAGUAUUGUAUUCGUUGGAUCAGCUUCGCAAGGAGUGUAUUCCGAUGAUAAGCAAGUCAACAUCAGUCUAUGAGUGUAGGAGAAGGGUUUUGAGAAUGUAGCAAUUUAAUUGUGUUAUAGCUUGAGACUUGGAUACAACGCUCUUGAUUGAGGAACGCGUAGUAAGCUUUGAGCAGGUUCGAAAGGAUCUCCUUACUAUGGAUGUUGGUGAAAUAACUUUAAGCGACC